GCCUCGAUGGCCAAGUGGUAAGGCGUCGGUCUCGUAAACCGAAGAUACUGGGUUCAAUCCCCAGUCGGGGCU
rnacentral:tRNA from 1 species